rnacentral:rRNA from 1 species
ACGGGGGGGGCAAGCGUUGUUCGGAAUUACUGGGCGUAAAGGGCUUGUAGGUGGCCAACUAAGUCAGACGUGAAAUCCCUCGGCUUAACCGGGGAACUGCGUCUGAUACUGGAUGGCUUGAGUUUGGGAGAGGGAUGCGGAAUUCCAGGUGUAGCGGUGAAAUGCGUAGAUAUUGGGAGGAACACCAGUGGCGAAGGCGGCUCACUGGACUGGUACUGACGCUGAGGCGCGAAAGCGUGGGGAGCAAACGGGA